rnacentral:rRNA from 1 species
CCUAGGGGUGCUGCAGUGGGGAAUAUUGCACAAUGGGCGCAAGCCUGAUGCAGCCAUGCCGCGUGUAUGAAGAAGGCCUUCGGGUUGUAAAGUACUUUCAGCGGGGAGGAAGGGAGUAAAGUUAAUACCUUUGCUCAUUGACGUUACCCGCAGAAGAAGCACCGGCUAACUCCGUGCCAGCAGCCGCGGUAAUACGGAGGGUGCAAGCGUUAAUCGGAAUUACUGGGCGUAAAGCGCACGCAGGCGGUUUGUUAAGUCAGAUGUGAAAUCCCCGGGCUCAACCUGGGAACUGCAUCUGAUACUGGCAAGCUUGAGUCCCGUAGAGGGGGGUAGAAUUCCAGGUGUAGCGGUGAAAUGCGUAGAGAUCUGGAGGAAUACCGGUGGCGAAGGCGGCCCCCUGGACGAAGACUGACGCUCAGGUGCGAAAGCGUGGGGAGCAAACAGGAUUAGAUACCCCCGUAGUC